rnacentral:lncRNA from 1 species
GAGAUAUGAGGGACGCCCCGCUGCCUCAAUGAAGGGCCCAUCUCCGGCUGCCUCUGCGCCGUCUGCAGAAGGCUCGCAUGUCUAGCUGUCAUGAGGCCCUGAAACAACGUCUAAGGGUUGUUAGAGGUUCCCUCAGACGAUACGGACCUUUGGCCCUUCGAACCCUUCGUCGAUCUAAUAUUACCGCUCAUCCUAUUUAAAAUAUAAAUUUGAAUCAAGGCCACAAAAUCAAAAAAUGCAAACUCAUUUAAAAAAUGUAAAAAAUAUAUACACUUCCUAAAUACAAAUUUUCAUUUCCUAAAAUUUACACAUAUACACUUCCUAAAUAUACACUUCAUAAAUAAAAAUAUACACUUCCUAACAACACCAUAACAUUGCAAUUGACCGGAAAAUCAAAGCAAACACAAAAUACAAAACAAAUAUAUACAUUUCCUAAAUACUAAAUACAAAUAUACACUUAUUAAAUAACAAUAUACACUUCCUAAAUACAAAUAUACACUUCCUAACAACACCACAACAUUGCAAUUGACCGGAAAA